rnacentral:rRNA from 1 species
AAGUCGAGUUGGCUUAGGGAUACGUUCGUUGGGUAGGGGAGCGUUCUGUAAGCCUGUGAAGGUGGCCUGUGAGGGUUGCUGGAGGUAUCAGAAGUGCGAAUGCUGACAUAAGUAACGAUAAAGCGGGUGAAAAGCCCGCUCGCCGGAAGACCAAGGGUUCCUGUCCAACGUUAAUCGGGGCAGGGUGAGUCGACCCCUAAGGCGAGGCCGAAAGGCGUAGUCGAUGGGAAACGGGUUAAUAUUCCCGUACUUGGUGUUACUGCGAAGGGGGGACGGAGAAGGCUAUGUUGGCCGGGCGACGGUUGUCCCGGUUUAAGCGUGUAGGUGUGUGUUCCAGGUAAAUCCGGUUCACUUUAACACUGAGGCGUGAUGACGAGGCACUACGGUGCUGAAGCAACAAAUGCCCUGCUUCCAGGAAAAGCCUCUAAGCAUCAGGUAACAUCAAAUCGUACCCCAAACCGACACAGGUGGUCAGGUAGAGAAUACCAAGGCGCUUGAGAGAACUCGGGUGAAGGAACUAGGCAAAAUGGUGCCGUAACUUCGGGAGAAGGCACGCUGACACGUAGGUGAAGUGAUUUACUCAUGGAGCUGAAGUCAGUCGAAGAUACCAGCUGGCUGCAACUGUUUAUUAAAAACACAGCACUGUGCAAACACGAAAGUGGACGUAUACGGUGUGACGCCUGCCCGGUGCCGGAAGGUUAAUUGAUGGGGUCAGCGCAAGCGAAGCUCCUGAUCGAAGCCCCGGUAAACGGCGGCCGUAACUAUAACGGUCCUAAGGUAGCGAAAUUCCUUGUCGGGUAAGUUCCGACCUGCACGAAUGGCGUAAUGAUGGCCAGGCUGUCUCCACCCGAGACUCAGUGAAAUUGAACUCGCUGUGAAGAUGCAGUGUACCCGCGGCAAGACGGAAAGACCCCGUGAACCUUUACUAUAGCUUGACACUGAACAUUGAGCCUUGAUGUGUAGGAUAGGUGGGAGGCUUUGAAGUGUGGACGCCAGUCUGCAUGGAGCCGACCUUGAAAUACCACCCUUUAAUGUUUGAUGUUCUAACGUGGACCCGUAAUCCGGGUUGCGGACAGUGUCUGGUGGGUAGUUUGACUGGGGCGGUCUCCUCCUAAAGAGUAACGGAGGAGCACGAAGGUUGGCUAAUCCUGGUCGGACAUCAGGAGGUUAGUGCAAUGGCAUAAGCCAGCUUGACUGCGAGCGUGACGGCGCGAGCAGGUGCGAAAGCAGGUCAUAGUGAUCCGGUGGUUCUGAAUGGAAGGGCCAUCGCUCAACGGAUAAAAGGUACUCCGGGGAUAACAGGCUGAUACCGCCCAAGAGUUCAUAUCGACGGCGGUGUUUGGCACCUCGAUGUCGGCUCAUCACAUCCUGGGGCUGAAGUAGGUCCCAAGGGUAUGGCUGUUCGCCAUUUAAAGUGGUACGCGAGCUGGGUUUAGAACGUCGUGAGACAGUUCGGUCCCUAUCUGCCGUGGGCGCUGGAGAACUGAGGGGGGCUGCUCCUAGUACGAGAGGACCGGAGUGGACGCAUCACUGGUGUUCGGGUUGUCAUGCCAAUGGCACUGCCCGGUAGCUAAAUGCGGAAGAGAUAAGUGCUGAAAGCAUCUAAGCACGAAACUUGCCCCGA